GUGAGGAAUAUUGGACAAUGGAUGGAAAUCUGAUCCAGCCAUGCCGCGUGCAGGAAGACGGCCCUAUGGGUUGUAAACUGCUUUUGUAUGGGAGCAAUAAGGGUUACGAGUAGCCUGAUGAGAGUACCAUACGAAUAAGGACCGGCUAACUCCGUGCCAGCAGCCGCGGUAAUACGGAGGGUCCGAGCGUUAUCCGGAUUUAUUGGGUUUAAAGGGUGCGUAGGCGGUUUUAUAAGUCAGCGGUGAAAUUUUCCGGCUCAACCGGGGGGCUGCCGUUGAUACUGUAAGGCUAGGAUAUGGUUGCGUUGGGUGGAAUGUGUGGUGUAGCGGUGAAAUGCUUAGAGAUCACACAGAAUAUCGAUUGCGAAGGCAGCUCACAAAGCCAUCAUUGACGCUGAGGCACGAAAGUGUGGGGAUCAAACAGGAUUAGAAACCCCGGUAGUCC
rnacentral:rRNA from 1 species